AUUGGACGCUGGCGGCAUGCCUUACACAUGCAAGUCGAACGGUAACAGGUCUUCGGAUGCUGACGAGUGGCGAACGGGUGAGUAAUACAUCGGAACGUGCCUAGUAGUGGGGGAUAACUACUCGAAAGAGUGGCUAAUACCGCAUGAGAUCUACGGAUGAAAGCAGGGGAUCGCAAGACCUUGUGCUACUAGAGCGGCCGAUGGCAGAUUAGGUAGUUGGUGGGAUAAAAGCUUACCAAGCCGACGAUCUGUAGCUGGUCUGAGAGGACGAUCAGCCACACUGGGACUGAGACACGGCCCAGACUCCUACGGGAGGCAGCAGUGGGGAAUUUUGGACAAUGGGCGCAAGCCUGAUCCAGCAAAGCCGCGUGCAGGAUGAAGGCCUUCGGGUUGUAAACUGCUUUUGUACGGAACGAAAAGCCCCGGGUUAAUACCCUGGGGUCAUGACGGUACCGUAAGAAUAAGCACCGGCUAACUACGUGCCAGCCGCCGCCGUAA
rnacentral:rRNA from 1 species